CCCUGCUUGCAAACGUCACUGCUAUGGAUAUUUAAUUAUACUGUAUUUUUUUAAUCACGGUGGAAAACGCAGGCCCCAUUGCCAUGAUUAAAAAGAAAUAAAAAACAAAAACAUACUCCGGACUGACUUUGGAGCCUCUUUGAUGGCUCACGGGAGCCUCCCGGAUCCUCAAAAACCCCCUUUUUACCUUUGUCUUUCUUACCUUAAAAUUUAAAGCAAAGCGUAGAAGAAACUCCCGCACGUAAACGGAGCGUUGUAAAAGAUUGUGUUCAAUGAAUAAUGAAGCAUGUCCACAUGAUUGACUUGAUCAUUUUCUUGUGCGGAGGGGGAAAAGUGCGGCGCGGGGCUGCCGCGGCCGCCCGCUCCGGGUAGCCCUCCCAACUGCUUCCAGCACAUCCCGAGCAAAGAGCGCUUUAUUUUAAUCUGUCUCUUUUCAGAAUAACCCCCUUCAUUGAUACUGAUCACCCAACAUCACAAGACAUCCCCAUCUCUCAGCGUGGACUCCCCCUAUCUGUCAGUUGGAUGGUGCAGAUGAUUCUCCAACUCAACUCUACAGGAAGAAACGUCAAACUCUUCUCAAAAUCUUGAAGAGCAGGGUUACUACUUGCAGGCACAGGUGCUGUCAAGGGAGGACUCUGUUAACAAGACUGAUCAAAAUUGUUUAAUUGUUUUCCCCAGCACCUCAUAGACAUCAUUAUUUGGGCUGGGAUGGCCCAAAUUGCACCACAAAGAGAUAUUAUAGAUCCAUGAGCUCAGUGAAUCCUAAAGACAAGAGACCUUCUCAUUUUGUUGACACAGUGACAGGCUCCAGCACCUAAGCAAUGAAUACUGGCUAGCUGGGAUUCAGAAAAAUCUCAGAUUUGAGCUUGGGGAGAGUUUGCUCCAACAUAUCUCAGAAUUCAGAGUAUUUUCAGGCACCAUCAGCACUUCUGUAGUUACCCCCAGUAUUCCUUCCCAUUUCUCCCCAUUUUUACUGUUCCUUUUUCUUCAGUACUAUUUCCUUUUUCUUUUAUUGCAUCCAGGGAAAGGUCUUUUCUCUCCAAAGCCUUUGUGCUCUCAAUUUUCCUUAGCUACUUCUCCAACUUCUUUGGCUGGUUGUACUCCUUUCUGUGCGUCCUCUACGAGUGGGCAGGAAUACUCUGCCUCUUCAAAACAAGCUCUACCACUGCACCUGCCCCUUGAAAGGGUCACUCUGGGUGUCCAGGUACAGAAACAAGACCAAAAAGUUCUGCUUAAACUGAUGCUGAAGAACAUGAAAAACAAUUUCCUGGAGGAGAAAAUGAUAUGCCUGGUUUUGUCAUUAGGGAGGCUCCACCAUAUUAUGCUGUAG
rnacentral:lncRNA from 1 species